rnacentral:rRNA from 1 species
GACGAACGCUGGCGGCGUGCUUAACACAUGCAAGUCGAACGGGCCUGUCUUCUUUUUUGGGGGUGGGUUGAGUGGCGAACGGGUGAGUAUCACGUGAGUAACCUGCCCUUCGGUCCUGGAUAACCGCUUGAAAGGGCGGCUAAUACGGGGUGGUCCGGUUGGUCCGCAUGGGCUGGUCGGGAUAGAUUCACUGUUUUUGGUGUUUCGGCGGGGGAUGGGCUCGCGGCCUAUCAGCUUGUUGGUGGGGUGAUGGCCUACCAAGGCGGUGACGGGUAGCCGGCCUGGGAGGGUGGGCGGCCACACUGGGACUGAGCUACGGCCCAGACUCCUGCGGGAGGCAGCAGUGGGGGGUAUUGCACAAUGGGCGGGAGCCUGAUGCAGCGACGUCGCGUGAGGGAUGGAGGCCUUCGGGUUGUGAACCUCUGUUUCCGGUGGUGAAGGCCCUGUCCGUGUGGUGGGGUUGACGGUAGCCGGGGAUGAAGCGCCGGCUAACUACGUG